GACGAACGCUGGCGGCGUGCCUAACACAUGCAAGUGGAGCGACGAACCAGGGCUUGCCCUGGGGCCAAGCCGCGAACGGGUGAGUAACACGUGGGUAACCUGCCCCGAUGACCGGGACAACCCGAGGAAACUCGGGCUAAUACCGGAUGUGGUGUACACACUCAAGUGUGUCUACUAAAGGAAGCUUCGGCCUCCGCAUUGGGAUGGGCCCGCGGCCCAUUAGCUAGUUGGUGGGGUAAAGGCCUACCAAGGCAA
rnacentral:rRNA from 1 species